GACCAGACUCCUACGGGAGGCAGCAGUGAGGAAUAUUGGUCAAUGGGCGGGAGCCUGAACCAGCCAAGCCGCGUGAGGGAAGAAGGUACAGCGUAUCGUAAACCUCUUUUGUCAGGGAACAAAGGCGGGGACUAGUCCCCGGAUGAGGGUACCUGAAGAAAAAGCAUCGGCUAACUCCGUGCCAGCAGCCGCGGUAAUACGGAGGAUGCGAGCGUUAUCCGGAUUUAUUGGGUUUAAAGGGUGCGUAGGCGGACAGUCAAGUCAGCGGUAAAAAUGCGGUGCUCAACGCCGUACAGCCGUUGAAACUGGCAGUCUCGAGUUGGAGAGAAGUAUGCGGAAUGCGCGGUGUAGCGGUGAAAUGCAUAGAUAUCGCGCAGAACUCCGAUUGCGAAGGCAGCAUGCCGGCUCCACACUGACGCUGAGGCACGAAAGCGUGGGUAUCGAACAGGAUUAGAUACCCGGGUA
rnacentral:rRNA from 1 species